UCAGCCUCUCACGCGGCACUAACUGACUGAACUCCCCCAGGGCCGGAAGGCAGCAAGGGUAGGUGAGCUCUGGUGGGUGCGUGGGAGGCGUUUUA
rnacentral:SRP_RNA from 1 species